UGGGGGAUAGCCCGGCGAAAGCCGGAUUAAUACCGCAUACGCUCUGUGGAGGAAAGGGGGGGAUCUUUCGGGACCUCUCGCUCAAGGGGCGGCCGAUGGCAGAUUAGCUAGUUGGUGGGGUAAAGGCCUACCAAGGCGACGAUCUGUAGCUGGUCUGAGAGGACGACCAGCCACACUGGGACUGAGACACGGCCCAGACUCCUACGGGAGGCAGCAGUGGGGAAUUUUGGACAAUGGGCGCAAGCCUGAUCCAGCAAUGCCGCGUGUGUGAAGAAGGCCUUCGGGUUGUAAAGCACUUUUGUCCGGAAAGAAAUCCUUUGGGCUAAUACCCUGGGGGGAUGACGGUACCGGAAGAAUAAGCACCGGCUAACUACGUGCCAGCAGCCGCGGUAAUACGUAGGGUGCAAGCGUUAAUCGGAAUUACUGGGCGUAAAGCGUGCGCAGGCGGUUCGCUAAGACAGAUGUGAAAUCCCCGGGCUUAACCUGGGAACUGCAUUUGUGACUGGCGGGCUAGAGUAUGGCAGAGGGGGGUAGAAUUCCACGUGUAGCAGUGAAAUGCGUA
rnacentral:rRNA from 3 species